CCUACGGGUGGCAGCAGUGAGGAAUAUUGGUCAAUGGACGAGAGUCUGAACCAGCCAAGUCGCGUGAAGGAUGACUGCCCUAUGGGUUGUAAACUUCUUUUAUAUGGGAAUAAAAUGUUCCACGUGUGGGAUUUUGUAUGUACCAUAUGAAUAAGGAUCGGCUAACUCCGUGCCAGCAGCCGCGGUAAUACGGAGGAUCCGAGCGUUAGCCGGAUUUAUUGGGUUUAAAGGGAGCGUAGGUGGAUUGUUAAGUCAGUUGUGAAAGUUUGCGGCUCAACCGUAAAAUUGCAGUUGAAACUGGCAGUCUUGAGUGCAGUAGAGGUGGGCGGAAGUCGUGGUGUAGCGGUGAAAUGCUUAGAUAUCACGCAGAACUCCGAUUGCGAAGGCAGUUCACUGGACUGCAACUGACACUGAGGCUCGAAAGUGUGGGUAUCAAACAGGAUUAGAUACCCGAGUAGUC
rnacentral:rRNA from 1 species